rnacentral:lncRNA from 1 species
GGAGUGUAAUUCAGGGGAAGGUAAUUCAGGGGUAAUUCAGGGACAGGUAAUUUAUAGGAAUGUCAUUCAUGGGCAGGUGAUUGAGGGGCAUGUCAUUCAGGGACAGGUAAUUCAGGGGCCCAUAAUUUAGGGGCAGGUAAUUCAAAGGCAUGUAAUUCAGGUGUAUGUAAUUCAGGGGCAUGUAAUUCAGAUGCAGGUUAUUCAGGGACAUGUGACUCAGGGGCAGGUAAUUCAGGUGUAUGUAAUUCAGGGGCAUGUAAUUCAGGUGCAUGUAAUUCAUGGGCAGGUAAUUCAGGGGCAUGUAAUUCAGGGGAAGGUAAUUUAGGGGCAGGAACUUCAGGGGCAGAUUAUUGAGUGUCAGGUUAUUCAGGUAUAGGUUAUUCAGGGACAGGUAAUCCAGGGGUAUGUAAUUAAGGGGCAGGUCAUUCAGGGGCAUGUCAUUCAGGGGCAGGUAAUUCAGGGACAGGUAAUUCAUGGGCAUGAAAUUCAGGGGAUGGUAAUUCAGGGGGAGGUAAUUCAGGGGCAUGUUUUUCAGGUGCAGGUAAUUCAGGGGCAUGUAAUUCAGGUGCAUGUAAUUCUGGGUUAGGUAAUCCAGGUGCAUGUAAUUCUGGGUUAGGUAAUCCAGGGGCAUGUAAUUGAGGGGUAGGUAAUUCAGGGGCAUGUAAUUCAGGGGCAUGUAAUUCAGUGGCAUGUAAUUCAUGGGUUUGUAAUUCAGAGGAAUGUAAUUCAGGGGAAGGUAAUUCAGGGACAGGUAAUUUAGAGGAAUGUCAUUCAUGGGCAGGUAAUUCAGGGGCAUGUAAUUCUGGGUUAGGUAAUCCAGGGGCAUGUAAUUCAGGGGCAGGUAAUCUAGGUGCAGGUAAUUUAGGGAUAGAUAAUUCAGGGUCAGGUCAUACAGGUGCAUGUAAUUAAGAGGCAUGUAAUUGAGGGGCAGAUAAUUCAGGGCCAUGUAAUUCAGGGGCAGGUAAUUCAGUUGCAUGUAAAUUAGGGGCAGGUAAUUCAGGGGUAUGUAAUUUUGGGGCAGGUAAUUCAGGUGUAUCUUAUUCUGGUGUAUGUUAUUCAGGGGCAUGUAAUUCAGGGGCAGUUAAUCCAGGGACAUGACAUUCACGGGCAGGUAAUUCCGGGGCAGGUAAUUUAGGGAUAGAUAAUUGAGGGGCAUAUCAUUCAGGGUCAGGUCAUUCAUGUGCAUGUAAUUAAGAGGCAUGUAAUUCAGGGGCAUCUAAUUCAGGUGUUUGUAAUUCAGGGGCAGGUAAUUCAGAUGCAUGUAAUUUAGGGGAAGGUAAUUCAGGGGUAUGUAAUUCAGGGGCAGGUAAUUUAGAGGAAUGUCAUUCAUUGGCAGAUAAUUCCGGGACAUGUAAUUCAGGGGCAUGUAAUUCAGGGAAAGGUAAUUGAGGGGCAGGUAAUUCAGGUGCAUGUAAUUCAGGGACAUGUAACUCAGGGGCAGGUAAUUCAAGGGCAGGUAAUACAGGGGCAUGUAAUUAAGGUGCAGGAAAUUCAGGGCCAUGUAAUUCAGGGCCAUGUAAUUAAGGAGCAGGUAAUUGAGGGGCAGUUAAUUCAGGGGCAUGAAAUUCAGGGGCAUGUAAUUCAGGGGCGGGUAAUUCAGGGGUAAUGUAAUCCAGGGGCAGGUAAUGCAGCGGUUGGUAAUUUAGAGGAAUGUCAUUCAGGGACAUGUAAUUCAGGGGAAGGUAAUUGACGGGCAGGUAAUUCAGGUGCAUGUAAUUCAGGGACAUGUAACUCAGGUACAGGUAAUUCAAGGGCAGGUAAUACAGGGUCAUGUAAUUCAGGGCCAUGUAAUUAAGGGGCAGGACAUUCAGGUGCAUGUAAUUCAGGGCCACGUAAUUACCUCCCUUAAGUAGUUAUCUCCCUUAAGUAUGUAGUUAUCGUAAUAUACGCUUUGUCGCUCUUAGACUCUUUCCGUUAUUUCACUGCGACCAUGGUGGAGCACCGCCUUUAGUGAAGCAAAUCAAGCCCAGGAAUUAUUCUUUGUAUGCCUAUUACUUAAUGUAUAGGUCUCUUUUGCAGAACCGAUAAGUUACGGGGACGUAAUGUUCGAUAUACUUAUUUAGUAGUUAUUUAUUUAUUGUAAGAAUUUCAAUUAUCAUAAAUUAUGGGCUAGGAAAAAUACUAGAAACUUUUUUGAUAGACCUAUUGGGGCUCCUUGUGUGUGUGGGACUGUUUUUAUUUAUGUGAGUGUGGGUAUUUUCAUUUCAGUGUUUGUGUGUGAGAGUGUUUUUAUUUCUGUGUGCGCGAGUGUGUGAGCGACUGAGUGUUUCUAUUUGUUUGUGUGUACGUCACUUACAACUACAACAAACACUUUGACCAUUUGUAAGAUACCCACAUUUGUGAUCACUAAAUACUAAAUCAAAAUAAGUCAAUUUAUUGCACCUUCAUAUAUACACACACACACACACAUGUAUGUGUUUGUGUAUUUAUAUGUCGUACAUAGCGUCGUAUAUAUAUAUAUAUAUAUAUAUAUAUAUAUAAAUAUAUACAUACAGAUAUACGUGAAUAUACCAACACACGUAUAUGUAGUAUCUAAAAGAAACUGUAAGGGAUGGAAUGGGAGUUCAUUCCGUUUUAUUAAGAAAACUUUCAUCUGUAUGUGUGAUAGUACGUGCGUGCAUUCUCGUGUGCCCUUCGAGUGCGAACAUACACAGACACACACAAACACGCACGCACGCACGCACACACGCACACACACACACACACACGCACAUGCACACACACACACACACACAUUUAAACAUAUAUACGACGAGAUU